UAGGGAAUAUUGGUAAUGUGCGAAAGCGCGAACCAGCAACGCCGCGUGCACGAUGAAGGCCUUCGGGUCGUAAAGUGCUUUUAGAGAGGAUGAGGAAGGACAGUACUUUCUGAAUAAGCCUCGGCUAACUACGUGCCAGCAGCCUCGGUAAAACGUAGGAGGCUAGCGUUAUCCGGAUUUACUGGGCGUAAAGCGCAUGCAGGUGGUUUUGUAAGUUGGAUGUGAAAGCUCCUGGCUUAACUGGGAGAGGUCGUUCAAAACUACAAGUCUUGAGAUUAGUAGAGGAAAAUGGAAUUCCGGGUGUAGUGGUGAAAUGCGUAGAUAUCCGGAGGAACACCAGUGGCGAAAGCGGUUUUCUGGACCAAUUCUGACACUCAGAUGCGAAAGCUAAGGUAGCAAACG
rnacentral:rRNA from 1 species